GUGCUCACUUCGGCAGCAAAUAUACUAAAAAUGGAACAAUACAGAGAAGACUAGCAUGAUCCCUAUGCAAAAAUGACAUGCAAAUUCGUGAAGAAUUCCAUAUUUUU
ensembl:snRNA U6 U6 spliceosomal RNA